rnacentral:rRNA from 1 species
UACGGGGGGGGGCAAGCGUUGUUCGGAAUUACUGGGCGUAAAGGGGCUCGUAGGCGGCCAACUAAGUCGGACGUGAAAUCCCCAGCUCAACCUGGGAACUGCGUCCGAUACUGGAUGGCUUGAAUCCGGGAGAGGGAUGCAGAAUUCCAGGUGUAGCGGUGAAAUGCGUAGAUAUCUGGAGGAAUACCGGUGGCGAAGGCGGCAUCCUGGACCGGCAUUGACGCUGAGGAGCGAAAGCCAGGGGAGCAAACGGG